AAAGGCCCUAAUCCUGCCACCUCGGUUUCCUCACUUGUACACAGUCAAUAGUAAUCCCCACCUCACAGAGUGAAGAGGAUUCAAGGAAUCAGCAAUGUGAUGAGGCCAGCACAGUGCCUGGCACUAAGGCUUCUGCAAUGCAGAUUCCCUCCUUCCCUUCACCCUGGGGAGAGCCUGAGGCCAUUGUCAAGAUGACUCCUGACGCAAACUGGCUACUCCGAGCCCAGAGCGCUGAAGUUCCCAGAAGGACCGGGAGGGGGCGCCCACCCACAUUCUUCCGCACUUGAGUCUGCGCUGACGAUUUCCUGGGCUUAUCUGGAUCUUCCUGCAGAAAGCCAGUCUUACAUGACCCUGUACAACCUCCUGGACUUUCCCGCGGGCGUGAUGCCUGUCAGGACGAGGGGAAACUGGCCUUCUACAAGGGGUACUACGGAGAUAGUUCUGACAAAAAUUUCUCGGAGGCAGUAAGAGGAUCCGUCAGACUUCCGGUGGCUGUGCAGUGCAUUGCUUUGCCAUGGGAAGAGGAGCUGUGUCUCUGGUUCAUGAAGGAGGUGGACACCUUGGUCAAGAAUCAGAGGGGGCCCAAAUGACAGGCUCCUUUAACGGAGUAACAGCUCAAGAAACAUGGGGCUGGUUGUGGUGGCUCAUACCUGUAAUCCCAGCAGUUCGGGAGGCAGAGGCUGGCAGAUCACUUGAGGCCACGAGUUUGAGACCAACCUGGGCAACAUAGCGAGACCUUCUAAACAUUUUCUUGGUGUUACUCCUGUAGCUCCUCACCCAAGUGUCCUCCUGAUGCCCCUUCCUUCUCAUGAAUACCAUGUCCUCCUUAUGUCUCCUCCUUCUGGAACCCCACCAGGUUCCUUUUAUUUGUUGGUCCCUCUGCAUGGAUGCUCAGUAUUCCUCAGAUGGGCCCAGGAUGAGGAGCAGCGUGAGGAGCUCAAUAAACAUUUUCUGACUGGC